rnacentral:rRNA from 1 species
UACUCCUACGGGAGGCAGCAGCAAGGAAUCUUGGGCAAUGGGCGAAAGCCUGACCCAGCAACGCCGCGUGAGGGAUGAAGGCUUUCGGGUUGUAAACCUCUUUUCAUAGGGAAGAAUAAUGACGGUACCUGUGGAAUAAGCUUCGGUCAAUCAUC